AUACGUAGGGGGCGAGCGUUGUCCGGAAUGAUUGGGCGUAAAGGGCGCGUAGGCGGCCCGGUAAGUCUGGAGUGAAAGUCCUGUUUUUAAGAUGGGAAUUGCUUUGGAUACUGUCGGGCUUGAGUGCAGGAGAGGUAAGUGGAAUUCCCAGUGUAGCGGUGAAAUGCGUAGAGAUUGGGAGGAACACCAGUGGCGAAGGCGACUUACUGGACUGUAACUGACGCUGAGGCGCGAAAGUGUGGGGAGCAAACAGGAUUAGAUACCCUGGUAGUCCACACUGUAAACGAUGAAUACUAGGUGUGGGGGGACUGACCCCCUCCGUGCCGCAGUUAACACAAUAAGUAUUCCACCUGGGGAGUACGAUCGCAAGAUUGAAACUCAAAGGAAUUGACGGGG
rnacentral:rRNA from 1 species